UUGCUUUGGCAGCACAUAAAUGAAAAUUGGACUGAUACCGAGGAGACUAAUGUGGCCUUUGUGCAAGGAUAACGUGCAUAUUUGUGAAGCCUUCCAUACUUUG